UGCACAAUCAACGGAUAUUCCUUUCAGAAGACACUCUACGACACUGGAUCUGACGUCAACAUAAUGGUCGCAGUCACCUAUCAACUCCUGUUCGGAACCAUGCCCCUAAAACCGACAUACAUUCAACUCCAGAUGGCAGAUCAGACAUUCCGAAAGGUUAUUGACAUGAGAGAAGACGAGUACAAUCCACCCAUCAUCCUUGGAAGACCGUUCCUCAGCACUGUUAAAGCAAUCAUCUACAUUGGAACCGGAGAAGUCCACAUGCAUUUCCCCUCUGAUAAGGUACGCCCCUAUUUUACUGACCCUAACUAUAUAGUUGAAGACUUUAAGCAAGUCAGGACAAGAAGAAGACGACACAACCGUAACCAGAGGAGGCAAAUCAUUAAGGACGGAUGGGCAGACUAUGAAGGAGAAGUCGUAAGGUCUGAAGACAUACAGCUUGAACAGAACUGUCCUGAGGAGACCGUAGCACCGAGUCAGGUGUGCAGAAAGAAGAUAGUUAUACACAAAGAGCAGGCUCUGCCGGAACCACCGACUAUGCCAUUCAGCAAAUCCCAGGACGACUGAGAAAACGGAGGGUCCCGUUCGGAGGACUUAAAAACACUGAACGCCUUGCCAAGAGGUAAACUUGGUAGUUAUCUUUUUCCUUUCAAUUAUUUUAAAAUAGUUUGCUUAGUUAAUCAGGUUCACAUCAUCUUGAAAAGAAAAUAAAAAUAUUAAGCCCCAUGUGGUUAUGCUCAUGGCAUAAAACCCAUAAGUACAUUCACUGUGGUGGCGUAAAAAUAAAAUAACUAUAUUCCUAUCCUAUAAAAAUAAAAUUAUAAAAAUAGAUUUAUGAUCCCACUAAAAAGAGUAAUAUUUAUUGAGGAGACUCAACAUGAUAAAGGCUAGAUAUUUAUGCUAACACUUAACUAGUUCCACAAGCUUUGUUGUCUAUUUGAGCUCCACAAAAUUCAAGGAUCAAAGAAGACUAGCAGACGGAGGACAUCCUAGUCGCCGUCACGGUGCUGCUGACAUUCAAAUAUACCUUCGCCAUCUGCUAGCUACAUCAGAAGGAAUUACGUCAAAAUCCAGCUUGGGGGAGAGCACCUCCAUUUAUCCAGCUAAGUAUUCUACUCACGUUUAUAUUUUACUCAAAUAAUAAAAAGAUGCAUAAUCGUAAAAACCCAAAUAAAGAUUUUGUGCUUAUAUAUAUAUCUUUGCUUAGUUUGCUAAAUAAAUAAAUAAAUAAAAUUUGCUAUGAACCCUCAUGAUGAGCUCUCACAUGGAAAGAUGAAUAGUUGCUCUGCCAUGACUAGUUCUCAAAAUUGAAAUCUCUCUCAAGUUUAGGCAUCACUGUUAUUAAUUAAGAUUUGCUCUAAACCUGAACUUGUGGGAAGAGUACUUGAUCUGAAGUCUAAGUCGUUAACGGAUAUGAUAUGGGAAGGUUGAGCUGCUGUUUAUCUGUUCCUAGAGAUGCUAGAAUUCUGGAGAAUUUUAUCUUUGAAAAUCUUUAAAAUAUCACAUGAUGAGUUCCUGUAUGAUGAGAGUUUAAAUUCCUACCACAGCCAUAUAUACAUGCUUGCUAGACUAUGAGCCACACAUUUACUUUUUACUGCUUAUGAGCAUUGAGUGUGGUCAAGCUUUGUAGACCCUUAGGAGCUUGUCAUGUGGUUAAGUCAAGAUUCACUUGCACGUUCACUCAUACAUGCUACUUCUACCCUGGAAGUACCAUCCACAUAUACCCAUUCCCAUCUCCAGAACCACCCAAAAAUAUUCUACUCCUAAUCCGGGAGAGAAUAGCCAAAAAUAUUUCUAUUUUUUCCCUAUGAAAUAAAUGCUCAAGUUAUCUUGUCACUACCACUUGCUAUAUUAUCUCAUGAGAUGAGUGCUCUAAAGAAAAAAGAGAAAAAAAAAGAAGAAUACGAGGAAAUAAAAAGGGGCAAUUGCCCGGAACCUCGAAAGAAAAAAAAAGAAAAAUAAGUGAGACGAGAGGUAAAAAUGGACAAGUGUCCGACAGUAGAAUUAGGGGUACAAGAUACCCACCUGAGAGAAAAGAAAAAAAGAAAAAGAAAGAAAAAAGAAAAUAUAGAGCAUCUCAUUCUCCUCAAAAAGUUUCAAAAGAGCAAGAAAGGUAUGUAUCCCCUCAAAAGAGCAUAAGUAGAAUUAGACUUUCACCAUUGUUAUCACCAUCAUCACCAUACACCAUUCAUUCGCCACACAUGCACAUCUUGAUUUGACUUAUUGACUUGUUCUUCUGGAUCCAUGGUUUGACUAUGCAAUAUAUGUCUUGUAAGUAUGUAUUAGCUGUCUCCCACCUAUGAGCUCCAGAUAUCAAAACCUUAUUAGAGUAGGGUGAGAGAGAAGGCAAUGUCACUAUGCCUUAUACCACAAAUACCACAUACUUUGAGAGAAGGCAUAUACCAUUACUGCCUUGGUAAGGAUCCAGAAAUACCACAAAAGAGAGAGUAGAGAGAGUCAUACAAGGAAUCUCUGAGUUUUAUUUGAAAAUCUGCAAAAACUCCAGAGCUAUAGUUAAUCGAAAAACAAGAGACAUGGUGCUUGACUAGACUGUUCUAUCUUUUAACUACUAAAGACAGAAGUGAUGGUUACAAGUCCCAUGGUGAAAGGUAAAUGAGUAAGUUUUAAGUCUUAACAGUUUACUCUAACCAGAGAUGAGAUCUUGUUUAAACACAUGUGUAUCUUUAAGUUAUGAAACCACUGCAGAAACUCUUGAGUCCAUCUUUGCUUAGGGACGAGCAAAGGUUAAGCUUGGGGGAGCUUGUUGACGGUCCUUAAUGCUCACAUUUAACCAUAAACUAAUCAUGGAAAAGGAUCCAAAUGCAACCAACACCUAGACUUAGGGUUUUAUCUGACAGAAUUCCACGAGUUUUGGUGUUUGUCUAUUUCUGCAGGGGGUUAUCAGGAAAUACGGAAGAAAGGCCCACACAUCGGGUUUACAUAGAGAUAUUAACGUGCCGCGUAAUUUUCUAUCAUCUAGAAGACUCCAGAAGCCACGGGACCGAACGGAAGACGUAACGGAGCCGGGCACUGGGCGCCCGCCCUCCCCCCUGGACCAAUCAGGGCGAAGUUCGGGGAUCAUGCUCCACCGACCUAAUACUUCAAGGAAAACCACACGAUCAAUGUCGGUUUGAUCCGACGGCCCAGAUUCACUUGAAGGGACUAUAAAACCAGACCCCCCUAGCCCCUGGAGAUCGUACCUCUUCUACAGAAUCAAAGCUAGGGUUUCAAUUCUUCAUCCAAGUAGAGAGGAUCCCUCUAGUUCUUCUAGUUCUACCUCUAGUUCAUCUAGAUCUAGUUCUAGUUCAUCUAGUUCUAGUUCUAGUUUCUCUAGUUCUAGUUCUAGUUAGUUCUAGUUGUAAUCUAGAAAAUAGGCAGAGAGAAGAGGAGAGCAGAGGAGGAGCCGGAUCUGUCGGAUCUUCCUCAACAUUAUACUUUUGCAGCAUCUGGUUCGUUCUUCAUCGUUCUCCAGGUUCUUCAAUUCAUAAUUCCUGAGUUCUUUAAUUACUUUUAAGUUAUUUAUUGGAUUCCCGCUUGCAUCAAGUGCUCUAGUCUUUAUAACGCUAGAGUAGUAAUUAAUAGAUUAGACGUGGUGUUUAGUCUUGCGAUUACCUGGAAUUGCACCCAAUCCCACGGAUUGUUGUGGUAGCCCUAGGGUAGUGACAGCCCUAACGGUCGACGUAUUCGACCACGUUCGGAUCGGUGUUUGUAGGACCGUAGUCAGACCUUCCUAGCCCCCUUCUCAUCUCUUUCUGUGGUUAGUGCUCUGAUGUCCCGAUAUAAAUAAUCUUUGAAGUAAUUCUUGAUUCUUAGAUCAACUAGAGAACUCUCAGGAAACUUCCUCUGUUCCCACCAAAAAUAAUCAUAUAGUUAUCCUUGGGCGAUCUUGGAUCUUAAUUAGUACACUCACGUUCCCUGUGGAAAAUCGAUACUCUGGAAUACUCCCGGGUGAAAGCUACAUCGGUAUCCGUGCGCUUGCGGAUUUUUCUGUUUGCGUUUAAAAUACCCAACAAGCUUUCUGGCGCCGUUGCCGGGGAACGGUAGCUGUACUAGUUUCGAACAAAGUCGUCCGUGUAUCCUUUUUCUUUUCCUUUUUCACCACACUCACCUUAUCAUUUUCACCAUACCACAUGGAUUUCACUCUAAGCAUUAAUGAGCAUGGAAUUUAUUUCAUAGCCACUUCAUUUACUCCAUGCUCAUAUGCAACAUCUUCACAAUCCAUUGGUUUUUCCAACACCACCACAUUCGAGAUCUCCAACCCCCUCAUCCUUUCUAUUUAUAAAAACUUUAAAAGGGCGGUUGUCGAUGCAUAUGUCUAUAAUAAAUUUUGCAGAUCUCAUUGAGUUGAUCUUGAUAUAGGUCAGCGUGGGAGGGGAAACCACUUCGCCGACAUAAAUUGAUGGUUUCCCAAGGACAAGCUUAGUGUCCUAAAAUAAGCACUGAUCAGACCGUAACAUGAGCUUUUAAUUAUUUGCAACAUUACCUUGUGUGUUGCGCAUAUAAGAAUAAUUGUAAAAAUAUUCCUUUGGAUAUUCUUGUCACUAACCUUUCUAGGAUUGGAGCAAGAAGAUCGGAUGAAUGACAAGCACAAGGUAUGUCCAACCAAUCAUCAUACAACAUUGAAUUAAAUUCAUCCAAACUUGAAUUUUGCAAAAUUCAAGCUUGGGGGAGACUUUACAUGAAACAUCCUUUGCCAUGUUGCUAUGUUGGUUGUCCCUACCUUUGAGACAUGCUCAAUUUGUUAAAUACUAAUCACACUACUUCAUCUCCACUUGAGUAGAACUCUAUAAAUGCUCUCAUGCUACCUUUAUUUGCUUUAGUAUAUGUCUAGGUUUGGAGUCGUUUCAUUUAUCUCUUAAUUAAGCAUGGUGCUUAGUUUAGGGCUGAUGAUCUUAUUUCCGAGGGAGUUUAAAUUAAGCAUGAUGCUUAGGUUAAAAUGCCCUCCUAAAUCAAAUUAGACAUGGUGUCUAGGUUGAUCUUUGAGCCGAUAGUAUGCUAUAGUAAACAUUGGAUAUUUUGUUGGACUAACCCCUGCAGGAAAACUUUCAAUAUCGACCUGGGAAGUCCUGAGACAAACUCACAUUGGAGAUAAAGAGAGAGGCACAUGAAGUUUAACAAUUUACACAAGGAAGGCAUAGGUCACAAGAGAUGAUCCCUGGAGGGUGCCACAAACACGAUGCACAACCGCUAAGAGAGGAAAGCUUCCACAAGGUGAUACUGUACCAUCACUCUUCAAGUAAGGUAACAUCUUAAUGUACUUGACUAUCACUUUUAUAAGCUUCUCCUUAUUUCUGGCAUUCACAUGAAUAAAAGAGACAAACAUGUAUGAUCUACAACUCUAGAUUAACCAAACCAAUCGAUUCAAUAUGUUUAGUCCUUCCACCGUUGUGAUCCCACACUCCUAAUCAUAUGAGCUAAAAUGUUGCACAUGCAAUCUUUGGAAGAUAUAUAUAAAAAAACAACAUAAGUAUAGAUAGAUUAUCUUUCCAUUAGGUUGAGUGAUCUGAUCUGACAAAUGUUUUAAAUGUUACACUCAUGGUCUUAUUAUCCAUCAACUUUGUCUUGCUCACUAUGCUUAAGGUUUGAGAGAACAAAUACACUUUUGGUUUUGUUGGUAUUUUCCACCAACAGGGCCCAUACACUUGAUCUCUGCCUUGUCUCUAUGAGCAGGUACACUUCAAGCAAAAUAUGAAGGAGUUUUACAACUCCUAGACUCCACCAAGUGAAGAACCUAGAUCUACGAGCACAAACACACUGGAGAUACUGGACACUCAGGCAAUCACUGCCCUGAGAUGCUUAAGGACGCUACUACUGGAGUAACCCCGUUGUGGAUGUAAUUACUGACCUUCUGCCGGUCAAGAGAGACAAUCUAGGAUGCCCCAUCAUCCCGAUCUCCAUCGGCAUGCUUGCAGAUCGUACGCUAAGUUUCCCAAAGAGAAUAUUGAAGAACCUCUACGUCUGAGUUGGUACCUUAUACGCUCCAGCAGACUUCGUGGUGAUAGAGACUGAUACUGAUGAGAGGGCACCCAUCAUCUUAGGGAGGCCAUUCCUAAACACCUCAGGACCUGUCAUCUACGCUAGUGCUGCCAAGAUCAGUUUCUACAUCACGGGGAGGAAGGAGAUGUUUUCCUUCAAGAACAAGACACACAAAUCUCAGAGCAAUCCUGACAUGAACCAAGGAAGAGGACCAACACGAGGAACAGAAACAAGCAAAUGUGGACCGAGUCAGCUAAGAUGGUCACUGCAAUUCAAGGAGGUCAAGACCAUCAACUCAAGUCGCCUUUCUUGAUCAAGAAGGAUGACCCUGGUGUUCCAAGCAUCGAGUGCACAAUCAACGGAUAUUCUUUUCAGAAGACACUCUACGACACUGGAUCUGACGUCAACAUAAUGGUCGCAGUCACCUAUCAACUCCUGUUCGGAACCAUGCCCCUAAAACCGACAUACAUUCAACUCCAGAUGGCAGAUCAGACAUUCCGAAAGGUUAUUGACAUGAGAGAAGACGAGUACAAUCCACCCAUCAUCCUUGGAAGACCGUUCCUCAGCACUGUUAAAGCAAUCAUCUACAUUGGAACCGGAGAAGUCCACAUGCAUUUCCCCUCUGAUAAGGUACGCCACUAUUUUACUGACCCUAACUAUAUAGUUGAAAACUCUAAGUAGGUCAGGACAAGAAGAAGACGACACAACCGUAACCAGAGGAGGCAAAUCAUCAAGGACGGAUGGGCAGACUAUGAAGGAGAAGUCGUAAGGUCUGAAGACAUACAGCUUGAACAGAACUGUCCUGAGGAGACCGUAGCACCGAGUCAGGUGUGCAGAAAGAAGAUAGUUAUACACAAAGAGCAGGCUCUGCCGGAACCACCGACUAUGCCAUUCAGCAAAUCCCAGGACGACUGAGAAAACGGAGGGUCCCGUUCGGAGGACUUAAAAACACCGAACGCCUUGCCAAGCGGUAAACUUGGUAGUUAUCUUUUUCCUUUCAAUUAUUUUAAAAUAGUUUGCUUAGUUAAUCAGGUUCACAUCAUCUUGAAAAGAAAAUAAAAAUAGUAAGCCCCAUGUGGUUAUGCUCAUGGCAUAAAACCCAUAAGUACAUUCACUGUGGUGGCGUAAAAAUAAAAUAAAUAUAUUCCUGUCCUAUAAAAAUAAAAUUAUAAAAAUAGAUUUAUGAUCCCACUAAAAAGAGUAAUAUUUAUUGAGGAGACUCAACAUGAUAAAGGCUAGAUAUUUAUGCUAACACUUAACUAGUUCCACAAGCUUUGUUGUCUAUUUGAGCUCCACAGAAUUCAAGGAUCAAAGAAGACUAGCAGACGGAGGACAUCCUAGUCGCCGUCAGGGUGCUGCUGACAUUCAAAUAUACCUUCGCCACCUGCUAGCUACAUCAGAAGGAAUUACGUCAAAAUCCAGCUUGGGGGAGAGCACCUCCAUUUAUCCAGCUAAGUAUUCUACUCACGUUUAUAUUUUACUCAAAUAAUAAAAAGAUGCAUAAUCGUAAAAACCCAAAUAAAGAUUUUUUGCUUAUAUAUAUAUCUUUGCUUAGUCUGCUAAAUAAAUAAAUAAAUAAAAUUUGCUAUGAACCCUCAUGAUAAGCUCUCACAUGGAAAGAUGAAUAGUUGCUCUGCCAUGACUAGUUCUCAAAAUUGAAAUCUCUCUCAAGUUUAGGCAUCACUGUUAUUAAUUAAGAUUUGCUCUAAACCUGAACUUGUGGGAAGAGUACUUGAUCUGAAGUCUAAGUCAUUAACGGAUAUGAUAUGGGAAGGUUAAGCUGUUGUUUAUCUGUUCCUAGAGAUGCUAGAAUUCUGGAGAAUUUUAUCUUUGAAAAUCUUUAAAAUAUCACAUGAUGAGUUCCUGUAUGAUGAGAGUUUAAAUUCCUACCACAGCCAUAUAUACAUGCUUGCUAGACUAUGAGCCACACAUUUACUUUUUACUGCUUAUGAGCAUUGAGUGUGGUCAAGCUUUGUAGACCCUUAGGAGCUUGUCAUGUGGUUAAGUCAAGAUUCACUUGCACGUUCACUCAUACAUGCUACUUCUACUCUGGAAGUACCAUCCACAUAUACCCAUUUCCAUCUCCAGAACCACCCAAAAAUAUUCUACUCCUAAUCCGGGAGAGAAUAGCCAAAAAUAUUUCUAUUUUUUCCCUGUGAAAUAAAUGCUCAAGUUAUCUUGUCACUACCACUUGCUAUAUUAUCUCAUGAGAUGAGUGCUCUAAAGAAAAAAGAUAAAAAAAGAAGAAUACGAGGAAAUAAAAAGGGGCAAUUGCCCGGAACCUCGAAAGAAAAAAAAGAAGAAAAAGUGAGACGAGAGGUAAAAAUGGACAAGUGUCCGACAGUAGAAUUAGGGGUACAAGAUACCCACCUGAGAGAAAAGAGAAAAAGAAAUAUAGAGCAUCUUAUUCUCCUCAAAAAGUUUCAAAAGAGCAAGAAAGGUAUGUAUCCCCUCAAAAGAGCAUAAGUAGAAUUAGACUUUCACCAUUGUUAUCACCAUCAUCACCAUACACCAUUCAUUCGCCACACAUGCACAUCUUGAUUUGACUUAUUGACUUGUUCUUCUGGAUCUAUGGUUUGACUAUGCAAUAUAUGUCUUGUAAGUAUGUAUUAGCUGUCUCCCACCUAUGAGCUCCAGGUAUCAAAACCUUAUUAGAGUAGGGUGAGAGAGAAGGCAAUGUCACUAUACCUUAUACCACAAAUACCACAUACUUUGAGAGAAGGCAUAUACCAUUACUGCCUUGGUAAGGAUCUAGAAAUACCACAAAAGAGAGACUAGAGAGAGUCAUACAAGGAAUCUCUGAGUUUUAUUUGAAAAUCUGCAAAAACUCCAGAGCUAUAGUUAAUCGAAGAACAAGAGACAUGGUGCUUGACUAGACUGUUCUAUCUUUUAACUACUCAAGACAGAAGUGAUGGUUACAAGUCCCAUGGUGAAAGGUAAAUGAGUAAGUUUUAAGUCUUAACAGUUUACUCUAACCAGAGAUGAGAUCUUGUUUAAACGCAUGUGUAUCUUUAAGUUAUGAAACCACUGCAGAAACUCUUGAGUCCAUCUUUGCUCAGGGACGAGCAAAGGUUAAGCUUGGGGGAGCUUGUUGACGGUCCUUAAUGCUCACAUUUAACCAUCAACUAAUCAUGGAAAAGGAUCCAAAUGCAACCAACACCUAGACUUAGGGUUUUAUCUGACAGAAUUCCACGAGUUUUGGUGUUUGUCUAUUUCUGCAGGGGGUUAUCAGGAAAUACGGAAGAAAGGCCCACACGUCGGGUUUACAUAGAGAUAUUAACGUGCCGCGCAAUUUUCUAUCAUCUAGAAGACUCCAGAAGCCACGGGACCGAACGGGAGACGUAACGGAGCCGGGCACUGGGCGCCCGCCCUCCCCCCUGGACCAAUCAGGGCGAAGUUCGGGGAUCAUGCUCCACCGACCUAAUACUUCAAGGAAAACCACACGAUCAAUGUCGAUUUGAUCCGACGGCCCAGAUUCACUUGAAGGGACUAUAAAACCAGACCCCCCUGGCCCC
rnacentral:lncRNA from 1 species